UAUAUUGUUUUCAAAGGUUUCCUUUAAAUCAUCUUUACACUUAUAUGAGGUAUUAUCAAAGCUUGACCUGCUUUGUUGACAUAAAACUUUGCAGAGUUUCUGUCUUUGGCCUAAUUACAUUUAGGCUACAUAUAUAUAUAUAUAUAUGAGCUGUACAUUGUUGAUGGAGCAAUCAAAGAAUGUAUUUCAGUAGUUGAUGGAGUAUUCAUGAGCAUGCCUAACAGGGCUAACAGAACUUUUUCGAGAGUUUGACUUUCUUUAAUUCCAUACAAACUGACAAUGAAGAAAAAGUCACAAAAAUCAUAUAUCAACAAUGACUGAAAAUAUUGAUAUUGAGUUUUUUCUUUGUCCAUGUUCAAUCGCCAAUCAAUAUACGCUUCAUAGUGUUCUAGAAUAUGUUGUCAUUAUGGAGUGAAGAUUGUAAACUUGAGGACCAAGAAAGAGGUGUACUUACACAUGCGGGUACAAGAUGGUAUACUCUUGUCAAUGUUUUGGCUUUCUUAUUACUUAUUAGUUGUAUUAUAUUUUCCUUUCACUAAUUAUUAAUUUGAAUAAAUUAUUAUUUUUUUUGUUCUCCUUCUCAAGUUUAAGGUUCAGUUCUAGAUCACUAAAUGAGACAAAUUGAGUUUUUGCGAGUAUAUCUUAAAAAAGAGUUCUUGCAACUUUUUUUACAUAAAAUUACUAAAAUGUAUUCAGUGAUGUGUAGUAUUUAAAAUACUUUUUCAUAGAUAAAUACCCUUUAUAUACAUAUUUUUGUUUGAUAAAUUUUACCUCUUUUUAACAAUGUAAUUCAGAACAUAUUGAAUUUGAGCUUUGAUUAAAAGCUUCUUGGUGCUAUAUAUAUAAUCUCAACUAUCAAAACAUUUUGUCACAUGUACCCCAAACACAUUUUUUAUUUUUUGGGGGGGUUGAAAAUUUUUGAUUCUGACAUUUCGAACUGCAAUAUCAUAUUAUACCGUGUAGUAAGUAGCUUUUUCUAUUGUAAAACUAAAUAUAAAAGGCUAGUUAGCUCGGUGAAUGAGACUCUUGCAAUUAAUCAGGGGCAGAGCCAGGAUUUUAGUUUAGGGGAGCACAAUGUUAAGAAAAAAAAAUAAUUAUUUAAAGGAGUAAAAGGGCAAAAAAAAAAUAAGAAAAAGGAAAAAAAAAAAAAAAGUAAGAAAAAUGACAACUUAAAAAGGAAACCAUUAAAAUUAAAUUUUACAAGGAAAAUUUAACUUUUUUAAAGGAAUUUGAAAAGUAAGUCAGGAAAAAACUAGAAAAAGAAGAGAUAAUUUUAAAAACUAAUAAUUUUUAGGGGGCCAUUAUAUAAAAAAUUCCAAUAUACACAUAAAAUAUUAAAAAAAUUCUAUAUGUACAGUGGGCGGGGCAAGUGCCCUGGACAUAAACUGACUCCGCCCCUACAUGUAAUUAUACCUUGGCAUGCAGUGAGACUAUUUCCUAUCUUAAAGACUUAAACUAAUUACUCCUAGUCACAAUGAGAAACAUAAAAUACUCUUUACAACAUAGAACAAAGGCAAAAUGUGAGAGUCCAUUUAGGUUAAAUUAGUUUGAUCCAAAUAAAAAUUGAAUUAAUCAAUCAUCAUUAUUAUUUUUUACUAUAUCUAAAUAUGAUUAAAUUUAACAAUCUUAGUUUUUUUUUUUUUAUAUAUUCCUCUCUUUUUUUCUUUUUUUUUUUCAAAAUUGUAAAUUAAAGACAUAGGAGAUUAAUAAUGAUGACAUCUCAUAGUGUUCGAAGAUAUAUAUCAUCUCUCCUUGCAGUUGUUGAGUCAGAGUUUUGACUAAUUAACGGUAAGCGUUCACCUAUAUAUACAUGUUCACACCCCAGUUCCCACCCCAGUUCCCACCUAGUCAUGUUCUAGCCCAUUUCAUCUUCAUCCUUCACAAAUUUUUUUUUUCCUAGUUCAUCCUUCACAAUUUCAUUGCUAGGGUUUGAAUCCAUAGCCAGAGAACAGGAGAGGGUGAUCGAUGACUGCAGGUAAGUGGUACCAAUCACCUUAUUCUGUGUUUGUUACAAUCAUCUCUCUGCUCCAAUCUUUAUUUCCCAAAUCCAAACCACAACAACAAUUACCAUUUUCACAGCCACCACCGUCACCACUCAAUUCCAUCUCCAAGGGUAUGAACUCUCCUCCAUCUUCCUCGGAAGAUAAUCUUCCCUCAAAUCCCUCAUCUACAUCAUCUGAAACUUCAUCCAACACUCAAUCAAGCGAGUCCCAGAGGGUGAACUCCAAAAUUGUCCAACUUUUUCGCGAUCAAGAACUCGGAAAAACCCUACUAACAUAUGUUAUACCCAUAUCCGUAGGUGUUUUGACAGUCUAUCCCAAACAAUCCUUGUCCCUACCAGUACCCGCAAUUGUUCUGUCACUUUGCAUUGGACUCACAGCUUUGUGGAAUGGAAUAUUGCUCCGAAACACCUUACCUGAUGCUAUUGCAAAUGUCAUGGAACAGUUUGGAGCUGGUUGUAUAUUUUUUUCUUUCUUUGCUGUGAUUAGCUCUUUGCUUCAACCAAACCUAGUUUGGGUCCCUUGGACAUGCUUUGUUAUCAUUCUCUUACCUUCUGUGUUGAGUUGUCUUCCCGUCAAAGAUACAGGUUGGGUUUGACUACAGAAGAUAUUGGAUCUUUGAUCUUGGCAUAUAUAUAUGGUGGCUGAAUAUAUAUGUUCUCUUCCAGUGAUUAGAUUCGAAAUUGAAGAGAGCUUUGAUAUGGAACAGUAGCUCCAUAAUCGAUCAGACCUCCCUGGAAGUUGGAAGCCUCUGAUCCAGCUCACAAUCAAUGAUAGGGAGUAGUGUUAGACCCUAUCUCUACAUAACUCCAUUGAGCUAUAUAUGUAUAGUUGAAGUGUUUGUGAAUAGGCUUCCUCUUUGGUUCUUUGUAUAUAGUUGAACUGUUUGUGAAUAGGCUUCACUCUUUGGUUCUUUGGUUUAUACACUCAAUACUCCUUGUGUUUGGUUGUCAGCUAGCUUUGUAAAAUUAAUUGUUCAUGUAUAAAAUUCUAUGCAUAUAUGAUCACCAUUAAUUAUUAAA